GUUGGACUAAGUGAUCUUAGAGGCCUUUUCCAAACUUAAUGAUUUUGUGAUUCUCUGAUAAGCUUGUGUUACCGCUCUUGCUUUGUCCCUGAGGAGACCGAUGGGAAACAAGACUCCGCAAAGAUGCGUGCAGCUGUGUGAGCGUCAGAGUUGAGAGCAGCAAUGUGUGUCGCUCCGAAACGUCGCUCCGAAAGUAAUGCCUCCCAUUUAUUCCUGUGAAAACUACAGCCGCUAGGAAGAGCGCAAUAACACAAUUUGAUAGAGAAAACUCUCAGCUAUGAAACAUUCUUUUUUUUUUUACAUAGUCACCACCAUUUGGUAUGCAUUUUUACCAGCAGUGAACAAGAGCUUGCAUGCUGUGCUCAUAAAAACCUUGCACUGUCAUCACUACUGAAAUGCACCACCCACUGCCUCACUAUGUUCACAUCCACUGUUUGGUCUCCAUAAACAUUCAGCAAGCCUCAGUGAAUGUCAGUGGGUGCCAUUUUUUCCACGUAGAGAAAGUCAGUUCUAUACCUUUACUUUAUAUGCAUUUCCAUGCCAGACACCAUUGUGUCAGACUGCCUCUCAGCUGCCAUCUGUCACAUGACAACAAAAUGUAACAGAAUAUUGGCAAUAUGGUUCAACCUUUACUGCCAUACCACCAACAUCCACCUCUAAUGUUGUGGGCCAACAUAAUAAAUUAGGAGGCAUUGCUUUUGGAGCAGUCCUCAAAUAGUAUAGCUAAUGUAUGAAGUAGCAAAACUUUUUUUUUUGUUGUCUUCUUUAGUGAAACAUAAAAAAGAGAGUAACAAAACCAUAAAACUACUGGGAUAUGUGACCUUGUUUUUGUGAAACUAAUGCCUCAAUCUGGUUCAGAGAUGGUGGUUGCAAUUCUUAGUUAGCUCUCAAGGUGUCCGUCAGAGGUUUUUAUGACAUUUUACUCUUCCUGUGCUUCAUCCUUAAAAGUAGUUGUUCACAAAUGUAUGUACUGCCAAAAAGCAAUGACAUGAAUAAGGUGUGAUUGUGAACCUUUUCCUGACCCUCCGCUGACACAGCUCAUAUUCCUUUGGUCCCACUGCUGUUACCAGAGAGAAGAGCUCAGAACAGCCCUUCUGCUUCCCUCAUGAGGAAGCUGUAGGCCCACCACGAGGUCUCCCCUCAGUAUCGUCUUCUCUUGACUAAACAAAGCAAGCAACCUCGGCAGCUCUUCAUACCACUUGCCCUCCAGAUCCCUCAUCACUGAAUGUUGCUGGUUUACUAAUGUAGAUUUCCUAUGGAAGAAAUCUGGAAGAAUCCCAUCUGAAGAAUCCUUUUAGGAUCAGGACUUGAUAGAAGGAAGGAAAACAGCUCAUCUCUUGACAUGAGUGCAAUAGAGCAUUCCAGUUCUUGGUACCUCCAUGGCCUUCAAGUUGCUUCAUUCCUGCUUAACUACCAGUUCAACUCUGCCUGUUUCUGGCAGACUACUUUACCUCUUGACACAGGUCCGAAGGUGAUGGCAUCCUCAAGGUGUAACCCAGUGGUGUUGUCUAAUGCAGCUAGGUGUAUGACCAACACAAGGCUCACCAUUUCACUUGAGAAACAUGUUCAGAAAAAGAGGAAGAGGAGGAAGUGGUGUUGAGUUUGUCUUAACUCCAGAUCAAGCUCUGAUGGCAAGGGUUUAACCAAGCUUGAAAAUGGCAACCUGACCCCUGGAAUCCCCUUCAGCAGGCAGUGACACAGGAGAAAGCAAGGACGUGAAGGUGCAGCCCCAGUAGCAGUGCACAAGGAAGUAAUGGGACUGUGGUGGUAGUGGAAGAUACUCCCACAGCUGAGAAUAUGCUGCUUUCAGGUACCACCCUGCUUUUCUGUGUUUCUACCAUUGGGCUGGAGAGAGAACUCAGCAAGGAGAGGGGGAAUGAAGCAAUAUGGGAAAAAGUUAUUUUUUAGGAAGA
rnacentral:lncRNA from 1 species